AUGGGGUCCAGAGGGUUAAGCCCCCAGAAGCACGUAGGCCUCUAUUCAUGCUUUGUUGUGUACUAAGAAAUAAAAUCUAGGAAUUCUGUGAAGGACCCUGAUCUCUAAAUAUGUUAUUAUUUCCAGUCAACCCUGUUUUGAAGCUCAACUAUUUAAAAAGAUCACUAAAAAUUUCAAUUUUUAGAGCGGUUCGCAUGUUACUGAACCUCUUUAUGAUGACCACCUGUCCACAAAGGCCACUUUUGCCAGCUUCCUCAGGAAGGUUGUUUGACAAGUUUGACUGUACUGUGAAUCCUCAACAAUAUGUACUGAAUAUAUCCUCAAUAGUGCUUUUCUUUUCCCUAAUUUAUUGUUUCAGCAGCAGUGAGAGACAGAAAUACUACAAGCACAUUCAAAAAGCGAAGGCAAGCCCAGACAAAUAUAUGAGCAUCAUCAUCGAUGGGAUAUGGAUCAACACUGCACAGCAAUACCGCAACUACACCCAGCACCCAAAGCCCUAAGCCACACGGACCAACUCAACACACACAUCACUGGUGCAAUUGUAGAUGGAAGUGGUCAACACACUCAUAUCGACAUCAAAGAAUACCUUCAUGACAGCAACCUCACCAUCAACAUCAUCCUCAACAUUCUCAUCCACUGCACCGACUCCCUUCCACCAACUUUGUAUCUCCGAUUAGACAAGACAGCAAGGGAGAACAAGAAUCGACACGUCUUUGCCUUUCUCUCUCUCUUAAUGGAGCUCAUUAUCUUCAAAAAGAAGACGAUGCAACAGUGAGGUGGCCCAUUUGCGACUUAAUGCUAGCAGGCACUCAACCAGUGAAUGCUCCACAGCAGCAAGUGCAUGCUGACAUCACAGAGGAAAAACCAUACAGACAGGUUCAUCUUGGACCCAAUGCGAGGAAGGCUCAAGAGGACAGAAAUACUGGAGGGAGAUAUGGUGGCCACCUACCGCGAGGCGUAUAGCACACAAUGACCACAGAUAGGACAAGGACAAGAUGUGGACAAGGUCAGGGAGGAUGUCCUUGUACUAGAAUGGUUUACAGGGACAUUGGCAACAAAAUGGAAGAAGAUGAUGGUUGCUGUCACAGGACAGCGGGACUGGAAGCAGGUUUGGGUUGAGACCAUUCCAAGGGAUAGUGUAAUUCUCCUUCCUUUCACUCUGACAGCAAGAGACAAACUGCCACCUCAGUUAGUGAUUCGAUUGAAGGAGAAAUAUAUGGAUUAUUUGAAGUAGGUAUUCAGGCCUAGUUAAAGCCCUUCUAUAGUGUUGGGACCCCCCCCCCCCCCAAUUUGAUGGCAAUAUUCCACAUAGAGUGCGUACUGACAUAUGGUUUUCGAUGAACACACAAUUCUGCAAGGAUUUUCAUGACGCUAGUGAUUGAAGACAAAUUUUGGUAAUAGAAAUAAAGGAAUUUCAAUUUUUCUCUUUUAAGCAUACAACUCAAUUUUUAAAAAGAUUUGUUUUUAAAUCAUCACUAAGAUAACAAAUGAACUUUCGAACAUUAAGUUUUAAGUAACAUGUAUAUGUGAUAAAUUGUUCGCCCUGAAACUGCACUGAAAUAUUUUAUUCGGCUCAAGUUCUUAUCUAGAAAAUAUCAGAGGAGAGACAGACUAAUUCCAUGUCAACUGUAAAUGUAAAACAUUUUUUUCCCGUAUGAGUAUAAAUUUAUCUCAAAAUUGUUUGCAUAUGGGAUGUAGUCUUAACCCCCUCCCCCCCCCCCAUCCCCCACCCCUGCUUAUUCACAGGCUGGCUGAGUCGUUGCGAAAUUUUCGGCGCGAUUUUCAGAUUUUAAAACCCCACCUUGGAAAAAGUCCUGCGUACGCCCCUGUAAGUUGGUAUAAAGCUUAUACCAUUUAGUGCCCUGUUGGUUGGUAUAAUGCUUAUACCAUUUAGUGCUCUGUAGUAUACAAAUAAUACGCUGCCUUUGGAAGUUCUGGUUAAACCUAUGCGCAAGAGGUGACUCCAAUAGUACUAUUUGCUGAGGGGUAUAUUUGUUUUAUAUCAUGCAUUAAAAAUCUAUUUAAUU
rnacentral:lncRNA from 1 species